AUUUGCCUGCAGUUUUUGAGACUCUACUUGAGACUAUAUUCAUGUUUCUGCAACUGUGGAGACUAGGACGUUAUUUUGUAUUAAUGGAAGUCAACAUAAUAAACUCACAGAGCUGCAGUAUGAGGGAAAAAAUAGGAAUAUUUCAGUGAAAUCGUGAAAGUUUGUAGAAUUGCAGGUUGUGGAGAUACAGGGCAAAACCCCACUCUUGUUAAAUUAUUGCUUAGACACUGACAAAGGAUUAGCUUUCCAUGGCCCUAUUUUAAUGCGGCUGCUGUGGUAUUGGAUGAGCAAGGUUGUAGAUAGGUCUUAUCAGUGAAGGAAAUUCUGUGGCAGGAAACAGACAGUGGCUGCAGUGUGGCAAGCUAUAAAUACUCAGUGAAUGAAGGUCUUGGAGAGAUGACUCCAUGAAGGAGCUCACCUAUCCCCUGAACUAGAUGGACCAGAGUGAAAAAAUGAGGGACUUUGCUGGAUGCAAACAUCCUCAUUCCCUCUGACAUCAGACAAACACAGCAAAUUCCUACUGACACUUGAAUGAAAGGGCUAGUAAGGACUUUGUGUAGUAACCUAAUUGCUCUGAUUUCUGCUCUUUUGAACCAAGUGGAUCCCUAUAGAUAACACUGAGACUAUAAUAAGCUGUGUCCCUGAUACAGAAGACAUCAGGUCAGUUGGUUGGGAACUUCUGGAAAAAGUGCUUCAUCAGUAAGUGGUGACUGAAUAAAACCAAGUCUCCACAUUUCAAUUUCUCUUCCUUCCCUCUCUCUAGCUCCCAUCUUCCCCUGCUUCCUACCUUCUUAUCCCUUUUGUUCUUCCAGUUACCAGUGCUGCAAUCCUGUGCCUAUAUCAUCUCUUAGUUGCAGUUCUGCUUCUUGCUAGACUGGUAUUAGGUAUUUAGAGAUCCAGGAAGUAAAACCUGUGCUCACACCAAGGAGUUACUUUACAUGGCUUACACACAACCUCUGUGUCUACCUUUUUUCCUUUUUUUUUGUCCAUAUAUAUACUUGAAACUUUCUGCAGACAGGCUGUGUUCUCUGCCUUUUGUUUCUCCAGUCCUGGCCCCUGCUUCUGCUGGGCUUGUAAGUAAUUUAAACUUACAACCAUUAGAUUCUAUUAUAUAUUCAAUUCUGCUGAGCUUUUUAUUUUCUCUUAGAAUCCUUAAUCUUGGCAGUGCUCCCAAUGCCCUCAGAUUCGGGUAAUGUCUCAAAUGUGCAUAAACAACCUGUGAGGUGAAGGGGUGACUGAUCCAUAUGAAUUUACUUUUUGGACUUUUUGUUCAGGGUUUUUCUUCAUACCUAAUGCUUUCCUAUCUGUACUUCCUCUCUCUUUCUUCCUUCAUCUGAUGAAGGAGUGCUAGCACAAAGAGCUCCUCAGUAGCAACAGCCUUUGUGUGUGGUGAAGGUCAAAGAGCUCCACAGCUGUAAGAACAGAGACCCAGAGCUGCACAGCGCAAGGAGAAAGCAGGCACUGCUGUAACGACUUUGGGGCUGAAGUGGGUGUUGAGAGACUGAGUCAUGAUGCUCCCAGUGGUGGUGGAAAGAGAGUGAUGGAGAGAAUCAUUCUCUCUACAGCUACCUGAAAGAAGGAUGGAGAGAGCUUUUUCAGUCCACUCUGGAAUUAAACUGUUUUUGCAACAUCACCCGUUCAUGAGAGAGGCAUUUUGAAAUUCCACCAGUGCUGUGACCUGAUCUACGUUGCUCAUCCUCCUCUCCCCACCUGGCAGUGCUGCGCAGCUUGUGCUGUGUUCAGUGGUGUGACCUGUUAGGAACCAUUUGGAAGGUUGCCUAAGUAUCGGUCUGGAGAAGAGUGUGGCAGCAGUGAGCAACUUCUGCUGUGGACAGGCAGGAAGUAUGCCUGGCCAGUGGAAGGAAAGUGAAGGAGAUUGCUGGCUGCAGUCCUGGAUUUGGAAAGUCAGAGGGGAGAGCUUCAGUAACUCUAUUAUGUAUACAUGGCAGCGUCCUCUGCAGAAAGGAGACAAAGAGAGUCCCUAGGAAAAGAAAGCAGAAGAGGGGGAAGGAAAUAUAAAGAAGGAAAAGAGUUGAUCAAGUUUUCAACAACAGAAAAAUAGCGAAAUUGUGGAAAACUUUCUAAGA